UGCACCUCACGGAGGGGCAUUGUCGGGGAAAUGGAAAAGCAGACCUGGGAUCUGUCCUGAGGAGCCCCCGUUUACAGACAGAAGAGGGGCACGAAAGCUGUAUUUAUAAGAAAUGUUUCAGGUUGGUAUUGCCUGUCCCUACUUCAGGGCCAGAGGAAGAAGAGGCCAAUUCUGGUGACUGCCCGGAGGAGGAGGUUUCAUAAACAAGGUUUUGAAGGCCUGGACCACUGUGGCAUUUUCAACGAAGACAGAGCCGAAGUCCAGCGUCCCCAGAGCAGGGGGACUACAUGGAGACUGUCCCAGUGCCCUCCUGGGAGGAGCGAGGACAUGAGCACGUGAGGCGGAGACACCUCCUGCCACACCAGCCACCUCUGCUUCCCUGCUGCAUCCGAUUUCCCUCCCCGCCAUCUCACCCAGCAGCCCCUCCUUUACACAUGUAAGCGCCACUCCUCGGGCAGCCGUGGCCUGGCGGGGAAGGCACUGGAUCCCACAU